rnacentral:sRNA from 1 species
CCAAUUUUCUUUAUUACUUUGAAGCUAGAUAACUGAUCAUUAGUUUUAGAUUUUAUUUUCUGUCAGUUGUGCUAACUUGACUCUAACAAACUAGCUUCCUAAUAAAUAGCCACAAUCUUCUCAUUUUUUUCAUACUUCAUUUCAACAAAACUGAAUUUAAAAAUGUCAACCAAAAAAAUUUAUUGAAAAGUACAAAAAAAAUUAAACAAGUUUUGUCUAAUUGAGCAUUUUUCAAACUUGGGUACAAGUACCAAAUCAUGACAUACCAAUUAGACAUUAGACUACUUGAAAGAAACUCAGGUACAAAUACCAAAUCAUCAUGACAGACUGGUUACACUAGCAGAUAGAAACUCAGGUACAAAUACCAAAUCAUCAUGACAGACUGGUUACACUAGCAGAUAGAAACUCAGGUACAAAUACCAAAUCAUCAUGACAGACUGGUUACACUAGCAGAUAGAAACUCAGGUACAAAUACCAAAUCAUCAUGACAGACUGGUUACAACAGCAGAUAGAAACUCAGGUACAAAUACCAAAUCAUCAUGACAGACUGGUUACAACAGCAGAUAGAA